ensembl:lncRNA
UUUGCUUUGUAGAAGGGCGCUCUGGCAGCUCGUGGGACUUCUCCAAGCCCCAGUGGCUCAUGCUCCCGCGCCGCCAGCCUGUAAUGGCCAGCUUUGCCUCUGUGCCGUCAUCGCCCUUUGAUAGCGUUGCUUCUCCCCUCAAUCCUGAGCCCCCCGGGGACACUCCCCACCCCGGCCCGGUGACCGCAGCGCGCAGCCUCGCAGGUGGCGCGCGCAGCCUGGCUCGGCGGAGAGUGCCUGGGGCGAUGGCACACGGCUGAACCAGAAGUCUGCGCAGAACUUUGCCCCUGGAAGCGGGGCCUCCCACUCGGCUCGGCUACGCGGAUUCCGGCCGGGUGUGGCGGAGGGACCGUCGCGUGACGCAGGCGGCCACACGUGGCCUAGGAGUGUGCCGCUCGGGACAGGUGCGGGGGCCGCCAGCUCGGCACCCAGGCUCCCGCCCGGGGUUCUUCUCGGCUUCCCGGCCGCUGCGGUCUGGUCUUGGGACAGUGUCCCUGGGGGUGGGAUGGGGGCUGGCGCCUUCGGGGAGGGGGGCCCACCUUGGUUGGGGGCGGCCCGGAGGGUCUCCCAGGCGCUACGCAGAGCGAGCCGCAGGCCUCCUGGGCGCCCGGCAGGGUGGUGGGAGGGCCCGUCGGCCUCGCGACUCGCGAAGUUUUUUUUUUUCUUUUUUUGGACGCUGAGGCUCAGCUUGUCUAUCUAAGAAAUGGGUGUUUGAAAUAAACAGCUGGCAAAACACUUGCAAAUCUGGCCUCGAGCUGGGAGUCUAAUUCACUUUCAUUUCCCUCCUCCGUCUGGAAGCCCAAGGGGCUGGAGUAGCGGGCCACCACCCCACCACACCCCUCAGUCCCCGCGGCGCGACCUCUAGAAUUGACUUUGCGUCCCCUGGGGCCUGGAAGGGCCGGAAAAGCCCCCGCGGGGUGCGGUCGUGGAGCCGGGUCACGUGACUCCUGUCCGCUGGCUCCUGGCAGCAGGCCUCUGCGCAUGCGCACUUAUUCCCCCCCCCUUUUUUUUUUUUUUUUUUGGUAGGCUCGGACGCAACCACUGUCAGCUCCUCCCCCUCCUUCAUCC